GAUUUAACAACAACAAAAAGAACUUUAUAAAACAGGCUUUGAAUAGCCUUUUUCUGACUCACCUUUACUAUGCAAAUACCCAUAAUUCAGAAGACAUCUUUCUACAAAUUUCUGUUAGUAUCUCCUGUCUAGUCUGAGGCUGGCUGUUGGAGGACAAUUUAAAAGUCAAUGCAUUUUUCAGAAGCAGACAUCAUGAUCUAUGAGCGAUACUCACAAUUCAAUUAAUUCUUUCAGACUGAUAAAGAGUUGUGAAAGGCUCACAGGAAUUUGUGCAGAAAUUUCUUCGUCCAUAGGUGGCAUCUGCAGGUGGUCUGGCAUCACAGAAGCUGUGUGCUCUUCAUGCAGAGGGACCUCACUGUUUGUGAGAAUUGGCUGCUACGAGAUUAAGCCUGAGGUGGCUUUUUAAAGCCUUCCUCAGUCAUUCAAGCAGACUAAAAAGGUGGUGAACUCCAACCUCUGUUUCUUCAAAUCCCCUCUCUGUUGUGAUGCUUACAAAAAAUUGAGAAGGAAGUGGUAGCUGACGGCUUCUGUCAAUAGUGUUGCCAAUGUGGUUUUGUUAUUACUUGUGCUCCCCAGCUGUCUCUAUCCAAUUUUUGUCUCCCAUAAGCUGUAUGCAACGGGUCCUGAAUGCGUGCAAUGUGGAGGGAAAUGUAAACUGGGUGAUUAUGUACAAUCUUGUAAUAGAAAGAAAUAAUAACUCCUCCAACAACAUUUAAAUCCCAAUUCUCAUCCAAACACUAACCGCAAUGUCUGCCUCCCCCACAACACACACAAUUGCUAAUUCAAUCAGGGCAAGGUAAAGGCUUC
rnacentral:lncRNA from 1 species